UACGUAGGGUCCGAGCGUUGUCCGGAGUUACUGGGCGUAAAGCGCGCGCAGGCGGCGGUAUAAGCAUGGCGUGAAAGCCCCAGGCUCAACCUGGGAGGGUCGUCGUGGACCGUACCGGCUUGAGGGCGAUAGGGGCUGGUGGAAUGCCUGGUGUAGUGGUGAAAUGCGUAGAGAUCAGGCGGAACACCCGUGGCGAAGGCGGGCCUCUGGGCCGAUACUGACGCUGAGGAGCGAAAGCGUGGGGAGCGAACAGG
rnacentral:rRNA from 1 species